AUUGAACGCUGGCGGCAUGCCUUACACAUGCAAGUCGAACGGUAUCGCGGGGCAACCUGGCGACGAGUGGCGAACGGGUGAGUAAUGCAUCGGAACGUGCCCAGUAGUGGGGGAUAGCCCGGCGAAAGCCGGAUUAAUACCGCAUACGACCUACGGGUGAAAGGGGGGGAUCGCAAGACCUCUCGCUAUUGGAGCGGCCGAUGUCAGAUUAGGUAGUUGGUGGGGUAAAGGCCCACCAAGCCUUCGAUCUGUAGCUGGUCGGAGAGGACGACCAGCCACACUGGGACUGAGACACGGCCCAGACUCCUACGGGAGGCAGCAGUGGGGAAUUUUGGACAAUGGGCGCAAGCCUGAUCCAGCCAUGCCGCGUGCGGGAAGAAGGCCUUCGGGUUGUAAACCGCUUUUGUCAAGGAAGAAACGCUCUGGGCUAAUACCUCGGGGUAAUGACGGUACCUGAAGAAUAAGCACCGGCUAACUACGUGCCAGCCGCCGCAGUAA
rnacentral:rRNA from 1 species